rnacentral:rRNA from 1 species
UCGGGAAUUUUGGGCAAUGGGCGAAAGCCUGACCCAGCAACGCCGCGUGAAGGAUGAAGUAUUUCGGUAUGUAAACUUCGAAAGAAUAGGAAGAAUAAAUGACGGUACUAUUUAUAAGGUCCGGCUAACUACGUGCCAGCAGCCGCGGUAAUACGUAGGGACCAAGCGUUGUUCGGAUUUACUGGGCGUAAAGGGCGCGUAGGCGGCAAUUCAAGUCAUCUGUGAAAUCUCCGGGCUUAACUCGGAACGGUCAGAUGAUACUGCUUUGCUAGAGUGCAGAAGGGGCAAUCGGAAUUCUUGGUGUAGCGGUGAAAUGCGUAGAUAUCAAGAGGAACACCGUGAGGUA